rnacentral:rRNA from 1 species
AGAGUUUGAUCAUGGCUCAGAGCGAACGCUGGCGGCGUGCUUAACACAUGCAAGUCGAGUGCGCGUUUCCGUAGCAAUACGGAAAUGGCGCACGGCGCACGGGUGCGUAACACGUGGGUAACCUGCCCUUUGGUGGGGAAUAACCUCGCGAAAGCGAGGCUAAUUCCGCAUAAGAUCCGCAAGGAUGAAAGCCGUAAGGCGCCGAAGGAGGGGCCCGCGCACGAUUAGCUAGUUGGUGAGGUAAUGGCUCACCAAGGCUAUGAUCGUUAGCUGGUCUGAGAGGAUGGCCAGCCACACUGGAACUGAGACACGGUCCAGACUCCUACGGGAGGCAGCAGUGGGGAAUCUUGCACAAUGGGCGAAAGCCUGAUGCAGCGACGCCGCGUGGGGGAUGAAGCUUCUCGGAGUGUAAACCCCUUUCGACCGGGACGAAUACCUCGCAAGAGGGGUGACGGUACCGGUAUAAGAAGCCCCGGCUAACUACGUGCCAGCAGCCGCGGUAAGACGUAGGGGGCCAGCGUUGCUCGGAAUUACUGGGCGUAAAGGGUUCGUAGGCGGUGUGGCAAGUCGGGAGUGAAAUCCCUGGGCUCAACCCAGGGGCUGCUUCCGAAACUGCUGUGCUAGAGUGUGGGAGAGGCGCGUGGAAUUGCAGGUGUAGCGGUGAAAUGCAGAUAUCUGCAGGAACACCCGUGGCGAAAGCGGCGCGCUGGACCACUACUGACGCUGAGGAACGAAAGCUAGGGGAGCAAACAGGAUUAGAUACCCUAGUAGUCC